rnacentral:rRNA from 1 species
AGAGUUUGAUCAAUGGCUCAGAUUGAACGCUGGCGGCAGGCCUAACACAUGCAAGUCGAGCGGAAACGAAGGGGUGCUUGCACCUCAGGCGUCGAGCGGCGGACGGGUGAGUAACGCGUAGAAAUCUACCCGGUAGUUGGGGAUAGCCCGGAGAAAUCCGGAUUAAUACCGAAUACGCUCUACGGAGGAAAGUGGGGGACCUUUCGGGGCCUCACGCUACAGGAUGAGUCCGCGUCUGAUUAGCUAGUUGGUGGGGUAAAAGCCCACCAAGGCGACGAUCGGUAGCUGGUCUGAGAGGAUGAUCAGCCACACUGGGACUGAGACACGGCCCAGACUCCUACGGGAGGCAGCAGUGGGGAAUAUUGGACAAUGGGGGCAACCCUGAUCCAGCCAUGCCGCGUGUGUGAAGAAGGCUUUCGGGUUGUAAAGCACUUUCAGUGGUGAGGAAGGCUUGUUUUUAAUAGAGGCAAGUACUUGACGUUAGCCACAGAAGAAGCACCGGCUAACUCCGUGCCAGCAGCCGCGGUAAUACGGAGGGUGCAAGCGUUAAUCGGAAUUACUGGGCGUAAAGCGCGCGUAGGCGGUUUGUUAAGUGAGGUGUGAAAGCCCCGGGCUCAACCUGGGAACCGCAUCUUAUACUGGCAGGCUAGAGUAUGGUAGAGGUGGGUAGAAUUCCUGGUGUAGCGGUGAAAUGCGUAGAGAUCAGGAGGAAUACCGGUGGCGAAGGCGGCCCACUGGACCGAUACUGAC